rnacentral:rRNA from 1 species
GACGAACGCUGGCGGCGUGCUUAACACAUGCAAGUCGAACGGAAAGGCCCUGCUUUUGUGGGGUGCUCGAGUGGCGAACGGGUGAGUAACACGUGAGUAACCUGCCCUUGACUUUGGGAUAACUUCAGGAAACUGGGGCUAAUACCGGAUAUGAGCUCCUGCUGCAUGGUGGGGGUUGGAAAGUUUCGGCGGUUGGGGAUGGACUCGCGGCUUAUCAGCUUGUUGGUGGGGUAGUGGCUUACCAAGGCUUUGACGGGUAGCCGGCCUGAGAGGGUGACCGGCCACAUUGGGACUGAGAUACGGCCCAGACUCCUACGGGAGGCAGCAGUGGGGAAUAUUGCACAAUGGGCGGAAGCCUGAUGCAGCAACGCCGCGUGCGGGAUGACGGCCUUCGGGUUGUAAACCGAUUUCGCCUGUGACGAAGCGUGAGCGACGGUAAUGGGUAAAGAAGCACCGGCUAACUACGUG